GAUGAAGAACGCAGUGAAAUGCGAUAAGUAGUGUGAAUUGCAGAAUUCAGUGAAUCAUCGAAUCUUUGAACGCACAUUGCGCCCCUUGGUAUUCCAUGGGGCAUGCCUGUUCGAGCGUCAUUUGUACCUUCAAGCUCUGCUUGGUGUUGGGUGUUUGUCUCGCCUCUGCGUGUAGACUCGCCUCAAAACAAUUGGCAGCCGGCGUAUUGAUUUCGGAGCGCAGUACAUCUCGCGCUUUGCACUCAUAACGACGACGUCCAAAAGUACAUUUUUACACUCUUGACCUCGGAUCAGGUAGGGAUACCCGCUGAACUUAAGCAUACAAUAAGCGGAGGA
rnacentral:misc_RNA from 1 species